rnacentral:lncRNA from 1 species
AUGAACCAUAUAACUUGGAUGUUCAACCUGAAAACAAAGCUCAAAGAUGAGAGGCAAACCACUAGGUCAAAGCCUAGGGUCAAAGAUGGAGAAAAAAUUUAAAACAGAAGCUGAAAAUUAACAUGAACCAACCUCAAUCAAUUAACAACACAAUCCAAAAGGUCCCAUGUCAAUAUCAUUCACCAAAUUCAUUUUACAAACCAAUCAUGGCAAGGUAUGCAAGUUGUGAGCACAUUGAGACAUCAGAAUGAACAAAUGCACAUUAAUUCAAAAAUGGUUCAAAUAAUCUUGAGAAAAUUCAUGGAUGAACAGAACAUACAACAUGAUCAACACACCAAAAAUUAGAGCAAUUGAACAUGAUUAGGCAUGGUAAUCAAAUUGUAUAAGGCAAGGCUAUCAAAACAAGCUCAAAUAUGACACAAAAUGACACAUCAACUUAGCACAAGCCUAAAACAGAAAUGAAACAUGGUAAAAACCUCAAAUCAAAGCCAAAACAAUCUUCAAUAUGUCUAGAAACAAUGUGUAAAAUUUCACAUCCAUUGGAUAAACCAUAAGCACUUCACAAACCAUUGAAGUUCAAAGCAAUUCAAAAGCUCACAAAUGGCAAUCCAGAAAGAAAAAUCUAAAUCAAAUCAGAAACCAAUCCAAAAAUUCCACAAAAAAUCAUGAGUAUUCACAAGAUCCACAAGAAGCAUCAUACAAAAAAUCACAUCAAUUGGAAUUCAUUUGGCAUGGCAAAUCAAUUAAUCAAGUUGGACAAGCAAAGGUGUGACACAAAUUGUCACACCUAACUUAACAUGAUCAUAAAACAGAAACCAUAAAUGGUAAAAAUGCAAACUCAACACCAAAACGUCAAGUAAGAUGUCUAGUUUAAGCAUGUCAAAUUUCAUAGGCAUUGGAUUAAAACUCAGCAUUUCACAAAAGAUAUGGCAAGCAAGGUACAAAAAGGCAUACAUGUUAACAAACCCUAGGGCAAAAUAAAAACCAGCCAAGCACAAUUUGUGAAAAAAUGAUCAUAAAAUUCUAGACAUAAAAUGGGACAUAACACAAAAAUCCUCAUAUUUUUUGAAGCAAUUAUCAAUUAGAUAUGGAUUUUAUAAGAUGAAGAAAAAAUAAAAAAAAUGCAUGUGGAUCAUGUACAUGAUUAUGGAGGGAACAUGGAAAAUAAUGCAAGGCAAUUUGAAUUUAUGCUGGAGACCGGAUUCGAACCUAAGCGAAAUUUGAAAGUCCAGGCG